UUUCCGUAGGUGAACCUGCGGAAGGAUCAUUAUCGAGUGCUUGGUUCCUUCAGGAACCAGUCUCCAACCCAAUGUGUACCCUGAUUGUUGCUUUGGCGGACCGGGAUGCAAUCCCCUCGGCCCUUGGCUGGGGAGCGUCUGCCAAAGGCCUUUUGCGAGCGCCUGAGCCCUUGGGAACAUGCGCUCGCCCUUUUAAACCCGCUUAGACAGCAGUCAGAGUUGAAACAGAAGUAAAAACUUUCAACAACGGAUCUCUUGGUUCUGGCAUCGAUGAAGAACGCAGC
rnacentral:misc_RNA from 1 species